UGCUCACUUUGUAUAUAGACUUAUUUUUCUACUAUAUUAUUGACUGUAUGUUUGUUUUACUCCAUGUUGUUGUAUGUGUCAAACUGCUUGCUUUAUCUUGGUCAGGUCGCAAUUGUAAAUGAGAACUUGUUCUCAACUUUCCUACCUGGUUAAAUAAAAUAAAUAUGAAGAGCAGUGGUUCUCAGUCCUGGGGUCUCAAAAGGGGUGCACAUUUUUGUUUUUGCCUUAGCACUGCACAGCUGAUUCAGUUGAUCAACUCAUCAAGCUUCGAGUGGUAUUUAUGUAUUAAUUAUUUGAUAUGAUCCUGUUAUUGUCACAUGCUAUACAUGCACAUGUGUGCUCAUGCAUCUUGAUAUCCAUUGUUUUCAUGAGUUGUUAUAAGGGAUAUUAUACUUUAGUAUAAUGACCCAGUGAUGUAAAAGUCUAAUAAUUACAUUGUCUUCCAUAUUACUACAGAUACCUUGUAACUGGAGAUUCCUUCAAAACGAUUGCCUACAGUUAACAUAUAGGGCACUGCAAGGUUGGGUGACCAGGGCCAUCUGGGACUGCCUCCUGGGGGAAUUCAGGUGUGUGAAGGCUACCUGUGUGCUGCAUAACUUAAUGAGGAUGGACACGAGGACCAGGAGGGGAUCUGCAGCUUGCCGCCGUGUGCCAGAGUAGAAGUCUGCUGCUCUGCGGGAUGUUAAGGAUUGGGUAGCAAGAGACGCAGCAAGAGAGGCAAUCCAUGUGCGGGAGAUCUUCUACUUCUUCGAAGAGGGUGCUGUUCCCUGGCAACACCAUAGACUACACUAUGCACAACCAAAGGCUCUUUUAAGAGCCAUUCACAUUGCAAUAAGAGUAUUCUUCCAUUUACUUAGCUAUGUCAACUGCAGUUAUUGAAUUCACAGUUUUUCUCCCUUUGAUUUCUACUUCUCAGGUGAGGGUGCUGUUUAGCUAAGGGUGUGAUGUCUGUACAAAAACAAAACAGGCUAUUUUAAAUCACCCAUAUUGAUAUUAUUAUUAUUAUUAUUUUUUGAACAAUUAGACACCCUAUAACCCACACACUCAUUUAUCAAUCUGAUUGAUGGAUGGUGUUGAGCAGGUUCAGGUGUAUAACUGGCUUCUUCCACCUUCAAAGAAUAGGCAAGAGGGCCAACCAUGGAGAAUAGUAAAACACUUCAUUAUUUCUAUAACUACGCUAUAUUGUUUGUCCUCGUGUGUCCGUUCAUGUUUUUCAGCAUAAAGUACUCUGCAGCCACUUAGUGUGGUGUGGACACCAGGUGAGGCCACACCAGGAUUCCUGUUGAAAACAGUCACUUUUGACUACCUUAUUUUCUCAAGUCUCUCCUUCACUUCAUCCCUUUCUCCUCUUCUCCCUAGAUCCUCUAGGUUAUAUCAGCUGUGUCGGUGAACCCCUCCUGCAUCUGAACUGGCUACAUAGAGGGCACAGCAUGAUCAGAGAUAUGUUUUGAUGUGAGAGAGGAUGCCAACCCCCAGUCCUAUCAUCGCCACCUCACCCGCUUUUAAGAUAAGUAUCUCUCGACAGCCCAAAGGUUAUGUAAUUGUGAUGAACUGAGAAUAUUUAGGUAGCACUGUGAUUCAUUAAUCAUAUGCUGCCUUCCCUGCUCCUGUUUUACCUCUUUCCCUUUGUCUUUUACACCUCUCCCGCCACCUCUUUCUUCCUCUGUUUUUAUAAUGCACAACAGAUGUGCAUUGAAGUACAGAUUGAACUUGUAUUUAUAAUAUUACAAUUAUAAUAUUUAGAAUGCAUGUAUUUAUAACACUUGGAUAAUGAGCUUUUCAAUAAACCAUUUUACAUUC